UGAAAAGAGAACCUGGGAAUUUAUGCAAGUACCCCCACAUGACUCUUAGCAUCAGGUGAGAUUAGGAGGCUCCACAGAGGCCUCCUUGAUUUCUUCAUCUUUAUGAGCCCUGAUGGGGGAAGAUGCUUUGCUGAAAGAUGCUGUUACAAGCAUCAUCUGAUACAAGUGCUGAAUGUGUUUGAUUCCCUGGUAAGGAAAGAAUGAUUAAGGAAAUUCAAACACAGCUGUAAAUACACAUCUAUUUUUAUUGCUUAAAAGGCUCCUAAAAGACUAUAAUCAAGGUAGCCUCUGCCAGGUGAAAAAAAUCUACAUUUUGCCUGCCUGGAAUAUAAAGGACAAUUCUUGAAUUUCAGAUUUCAUGAAUGCUGAGAACAUUUUCACAUGACAUCCAAAAACAGAUGUGAAACCACACUUGACUCGAAGACCAAGAUAAAGAACCAAGAUUCCAGAAAAAGCUCCAAAUACCUUCAAAUUUUCCUGAUAUUCAAACUUGAUUCUCCACCCCUCUACAGUGAACCACCUUGUUAUUUCUUAUCUGAAGGGACUUACCCAAAUCUUG